UACAGAGGUCUCGAGCGUUGUUCGGAUUCAUUGGGCGUAAAGGGUGCGUAGGUGGCGUGGUAAGUCUGGUGUGAAAUCCCGGGGCUCAACCCCGGAACUGCACUGGAUACUGCCAUGCUUGAGUACUGGAGAGGAGAUUGGAAUUCACGGUGUAGCAGUGAAAUGCGUAGAUAUCGUGAGGAACACCGAGGCGAAGGCGGUUACCUGGACAGUUACUGACGCUCAGGCACGAAAGCAUGGGGAGCAAAAGGG
rnacentral:rRNA from 1 species